GGUGGCAUAGUGGUAAAAGCACUCGGCUGCUAAUCAAAAGGUCGGUGGUUCAAACCCACCAGCCA
rnacentral:tRNA from 1 species